rnacentral:rRNA from 1 species
UACAGAGGUCUCAAGCGUUGUUCGGAUUCAUUGGGCGUAAAGGGCGCGUAGGCGGCGGGGUAAGUCGGGUGUGAAAUCUCAGAGCUCAACUCUGAAACUGCACUCGAUACUGCUCUGCUUGAGGACUGGAGAGGAGACUGGAAUUCACGGUGUAGCAGUGAAAUGCGCAGAUAUCAGGAGGAACACCGGUGGCGAAGGCGGUUCUCUGGGCCUUACCUGACGCUGAGGAGCGAAAGCGUGGGGAGCAAACAGG